UCAUGCAGAAAUAAUUCAAUAAUUCGAUUUCAAUUUGAACCAAAAAAUACCCAUUCGUACCCGUGCACACAUUUCAAGGACAACAGACCAUUCCGAAUCCAAGCCAUAUUUUAGAAACAUUACAAUUUUAAAGAUAUUAUAAUAACAGUACGACUCUCGACAGGUUAACAUUCUGAUGGCAAGGAAAGUUGGAAGUACAUUAGGAGGUUAACAUUGUUAUUAGAGCUACUUAUUACUCUGUUAUAUAUACAAAACUGGGAGCUAAAUUUGGGUUGGGUUUUUCAAUCCGUGACUCCAACUGUUUCCGUUCCUCUCAGGUUGUCACUAAAUGAGGACCAGAGCGUGGAAGCACACAUGAAUAAGUAACAUACUUCACACUGUCUAAGAGCACAACUACAAAAAUCCGAGAAAUGGAUUUGGGUGUAAUCACGCCAUCAACCUCGCUGUCGCCAGCCUCUCUGGGAUCAACAAGCACAGAGACAACCAUGGGCGAGACAGAUUUAUUACCUUGGAAGUUGUCUUUUUGAGAAUUUCCAACACGUUCCCCAGUAAUAUUCAGGUCAGAACCUGGUAGGGGAAUUGGAAGACCUCGGAGAAUCCUUCUGUUUUUCCCCUUGUUGUGGUGUGUAGCAUUCUGCUGGUGCUUUGCCGUAAUAUUUGUAACUGGGGAAGCGGGAAUAAUAGCUCCUGGAGAUGGUGAGGCAUCAAACUGGAACACUUCCUUGCACAUGCCAGAACUUAACAUUGGCCCAGCAAGGCCUUCAUGGAACCACUGUUGGAGUUUACCAUCAGCUGCAGAUGACUUUUUAUCCUUUGGAGUAUCAGAAGAAGCAGAAGUAAGGGCCUUCUGUGGCUCUUUAGCAGUCGGAUAUAAGUGAGAAUGCCUCCCUCUAUUGGUUCCAACAUCAGGGAAGGCAAGGGCUGGAAAUAAGUCUAUUGGGAUUGCCAAACCCGUCUCCUUAUUUUUAUUUACUUCAGGAUCCUCAUGUGAGGCCAUAGCUGCCUCACUGGCCAGAACAGAAUGAAUUAUCAAGUUACCAUCAAUCUUGACAAGCUCAUCAUUCCUUGGCACAAACAAAGAUGCUGCAAGCGGCUUAUUACUAGCAUUAGCAAGUUGGGUAAAUUUGUCUGAGUCUGGUAGAUGCUCCAAGCCUCCUUUCAUCUCCACAUCAUACGCCAAACAUCCAUCACUGCCUCUCCCACACUGUAUUCUACUACCAACAUGAAAAUUUCCAUUAGAAAACUCAACACCGAUGCUCUCAUGAGACCUAUUUGAAUGCCCAUGAACUCCAAAGACCCUACCUCUCUGCUUAUCAUAAAACUUCUCACUAACAAAACCGAACCCAUUAGCACCAUUCUCCUUGACUCCUCCAAACUUAACAUUCACAAUUGGCACCAAUCCACCAAACAACAAAAUGAAAAAUAACAAACCCAAAAAGCUAACACUAGCAACCUUCUUAGUCUUAACUUCAGCUUUCUUAGCCUCUGCCUUUUUAGCUUUCACAGCUGACACAGGCUGCUGAGUCUUCAAUCUAGGGAUUGGAACCAAGUGCACCUGAGACCCUGGCGGCUUAACAACAUAAGGGGCACACGGCACCCACGAAUAUGGCAUGGGAGCCAUUGGUGGAUACAAAGGAGAAGGACACAAACCAUUGCCACUCAACUGCUGCUUCAAACUAGUAUUUUCAGCCAUAAAAAAUGAAAUUUUACUAUUUAAUUCCGCAAUGGUUAAAUGCAUAGUUCUCACCUUGUCUUCCAGCUCCUCCACGUAAUGCUUCUUUCUCUGCCUUGAAAGCUGCGCGCUCUCUCGAUUUCUCAUCAGCCUUGCCCUCCUUUUCUCCUCCUCUUCACUCAAUUCAACAAAAUUACCACACAGAGAAUUUGCCUUCAAAUAUGGGUCGGCAUUCUCUGACCUUAGGUACUUUAGAUUUCUUGUUUCGCCAUUAACAUCCUCGCUAGUGGUCUCUUUCUUUCUCUUUGGUAAGCCACCACUUUUGGCAUUUACUCCUUCGAGUUUGAUCUUCUGAUCAACCAAAAAUGCACCGGAAUCAGGAGAAGGAGCAUUCAUGGCUUCAGAUACACCCGCACCACCAUUUCCGGAGCCCUGAGAAGAUAUCGGCGAGGCAAAAUUCGACCCCCUAUCAGAAUUGCAGCUUAGAUCGGCCGAAUUACAACUUCUAGACUCCGAGAGCGAGCAAUUCAAAUACUUAGAAACAUCAGAACCAUGAUUGCCACAAAUUCCAGAGCUCCCCGACUCAAGCCAAUCAGAUUUCGCCUCAUGGACUGUGAAACCAUCAACAAAACCAUCGAUAGGACCCGAUUGAAGAGAAACGUCGUGGUUGGGGAUAGAGAAGUGCUCGUUCUCGGAGGGAAAGUAGAAGCUGUCGAGAUCGUGGAAGGUGAUGUCAAAAUCGUAACUAUCGUCAAGGGAAAAGGGUAAAUCGGAGACAAGGUUUUCCCCUCCAGACAUGGUGGUGGAUGAGGAAUUUUGCGCAGAGAGGAACAAGGGAUCGAGGGGAGGGAUUGGGAGGGAAUCGAAAUCAUCUAUGGAAUGAUUAGAAUCCGUUGGUGGCGGUGGAUGAACGGCGAGGAUAGUGUCGCCUACGCCCAUUGUAGAGGUGGUUACCGGUUAGGUUUUGAGAAGUGGAGGGUUUUGAAGAGGAAGACUUUAGGGGUCUUCCUUCCACACGGCUUCCUGUAAGAUUAUCAGAGAAUUUGUUGCAAUUUUG
rnacentral:misc_RNA from 1 species